rnacentral:rRNA from 1 species
GACGAACCGUGCGAACGUUGUUCGGAAUCACUGGGCUUAAAGGGCGCGUAGGCGGUUGAUCAAGUCCGGGGUGAAAUCUUUCGGCUUAACCGGAAAAGUGCCUUGGAUACUGGUCAGCUGGAGGGAGGUAGGGGCAGUUGGAACUUCCAGUGGAGCGGUGAAAUGCGUUGAUAUUGGAAGGAACGCCGGUGGCGAAAGCGAGCUGCUGGACCUCUUCUGACGCUGAUGCGCGAAAGCUAGGGGAGCAAACGGG